rnacentral:rRNA from 1 species
GGGGAAUUUUGGACAAUGGGCGAAAGCCUGAUCCAGCCAUACCGCGUGAGUGAAGAAGGCCUUCGGGUUGUAAAGCUCUUUCAGCCGGAAAGAAAUCGCACUUUUUAAUACGAAGUGUGGAUGACGGUACCGGAAGAAGAAGCACCGGCUAACUACGUGCCAGCAGCCGCGGUAAUACGUAGGGUGCGAGCGUUAAUCGGAAUUACUGGGCGUAAAGCGUGCGCAGGCGGUUUUGUAAGCCAGAUGUGAAAUCCCCGGGCUUAACCUGGGAACUGCAUUUGGAACUGUAAGACUAGAGUAUAGCAGAGGGGGGUAGAAUUCCACGUGUAGCAGUGAAAUGCGUAGAUAUGUGGAGGAAUACCAAUGGCGAAGGCAGCCCCCUGGGUUAAUACUGACGCUCAUGCACGAAAGCGUGGGGAGCAAACA